rnacentral:rRNA from 1 species
UACAGAGAGUGCAAGCGUUAAUCGGAAUUACUGGGCGUAAAGAGCACGUAGGUGGAUUCUUAAGUCGAAUGUGAAAUCCCUGGGCUUAACCUAGGAACUGCAUUCGAUACUGGGAAUCUAGAGUAUGGUAGAGGGAAGUGGAAUUUCCGGUGUAGCGGUGAAAUGCGUAGAUAUCGGAAAGAACACCAGUGGCGAAGGCGGCUUCCUGGACUAAUACUGACACUGAGGUGCGAAAGCGUGGGGAGCAAACAGG